rnacentral:rRNA from 1 species
GUAGGUGGCAAGCGUCGUCCGGAAUUAUUGGGCGUAAAGCGCGCGCAGGUGGGUUCUUUAAGUCUGAUGUGAAGGGCCCCCGGGCUCAACCGGGGAGGGUCAUUGGAAACUGGGGAACUUGAGUGCAGGAGAGGAAAGUGGAAUUCCACGUGUAGCGGUGAAAUGCGUAGAUAUGUGGAGGAACACCAGUGGCGAAGGCGACUUUCUGGCCUGUAACUGACACUGAGGCGCGAAAGCGUGGGGAGCAAACAGGAUUAGAUACCCUGGUAGUCCACGCCGUAAACGAUGAGUGCUAAGUGUUGGGGGGUUUCCGCCCCUCAGUGCUGCAGCUAACGCAUUAAGCACUCCGCCUGGGGAGUACGGUCGCAAGACUG